rnacentral:rRNA from 1 species
AGCGAACGCUGGCGGCAGGCCUAACACAUGCAAGUCGCACGAAACCUUCGGGGUUAGUGGCGGACGGGUGAGUAACACGUGGGAACGUGCCUUUAGGUUCGGAAUAACUCAGGGAAACUUGUGCUAAUACCGAAUGUGCCCUUCGGGGGAAAGAUUUAUCGCCUUUAGAGCGGCCCGCGUCUGAUUAGCUAGUUGGUGAGGUAAUGGCUCACCAAGGCUACGAUCAGUAGCUGGUCUGAGAGGAUGACCAGCCACAUUGGGACUGCGACACGGCCCAAACUCCAACGGGAGGCAGCAGUGGGGAAUCUUGCGCAAUGGGCGAAAGCCUGACGCAGCCAUGCCGCGUGGAUGAUGAAGGUCUUAGGAUUGUAAAAUCCUUUCACCGGUGAAGAUAAUGACUGUAGCCGGAGAAGAAGCCCCGGCUAACUUCGUGCCAGCCGCCGCUGUAACAC